rnacentral:rRNA from 1 species
CAGUCGCCGCGGGAAUACGUAGGUGGCAAGCGUUGUCCGGAAUUAUUGGGCGUAAAGGGCUCGCAGGCGGUUUCUUAAGUCUGAUGUGAAAGCCCCCGGCUCAACCGGGGAGGGUCAUUGGAAACUGGGAAACUUGAGUGCAGAAGAGGAGAGUGGAAUUCCACGUGUAGCGGUGAAAUGCGUAGAGAUGUGGAGGAACACCAGUGGCGAAGGCGACUCUCUGGUCUGUAACUGACGCUGAGGAGCGAAAGCGUGGGGAGCGAACGGGAUUAGAUACCCCUGUAGUCCCUGUCUCUUAUAA